rnacentral:rRNA from 1 species
UGGGGAAUAUUGCACAAUGGAGGGAACUCUGAUGCAGCGACGCCGCGUGAACGAAGAAGGCUUUCGAGUCGUAAAGUUCUUUUAUAUACAAAAGAGACGGUACCUAACCAGAAAGCCACGGCUAACUACGUGCCAGCAGCCGCGGUAAUACGUAGGUGGCAAGCGUUGUCCGGAAUUAUUGGGCGUAAAGCGCGCGCAGGUGGUUUAGAAAGUCUGAUGUGAAAGCCCACGGCUCAACCGUGGAGGGUCAUUGGAAACUAAUAAACUUGAGUGCAGGAGAGAAAAGUGGAAUUCCUAGUGUAGCGGUGAAAUGCGUAGAGAUUAGGAGGAACACCGGUGGCGAAAGCGGCUUUUUGGCCUGCAACUGACACUGAGGCGCGAAAGCGUGGGGAGCAAACAGG